rnacentral:rRNA from 1 species
AUUGCACAAUGGGCGCAAGCCUGAUGCAGCAACGCCGCGUGAGGGACGACGGCCUUCGGGUUGUAAACCUCUUUUAGCAGGGAAGAAGCGAAAGUGACGGUACCUGCAGAAAAAGCGCCGGCUAACUACGUGCCAGCAGCCGCGGUAAUACGUAGGGCGCAAGCGUUAUCCGGAAUUAUUGGGCGUAAAGAGCUCGUAGGCGGUUUGUCGCGUCUGCUGUGAAAUCCGGAGGCUCAACCUCCGGCCUGCAGUGGGUACGGGCAGACUAGAGUGCGGUAGGGGAGAUUGGAAUUCCUGGUGUAGCGGUGGAAUGCGCAGAUAUCAGGAGGAACACCGAUGGCGAAGGCAGAUCUCUGGGCCGUAACUGACGCUGAGGAGCGAAAGGGUGGGGAGCAAACAGGCUUAGAUACCCUGGUAGUCCACCCCGUAAACGUUGGGAACUAGUUGUGGGGUCCAUUCCACGGAUUCCGUGACGCAGCUAACGCAUUAAGUUCCCCGCCUGGGGAGUACGGCCGCAAGGCUAAAACUCAAAGGAAUUGACGGGGACCCGCACAAGCGGCGGAGCAUGCGGAUUAAUUCGAUGCAACGCGAAGAACCUUACCAAGGCUUGACAUAUACGAGAACGGGCCAGAAAUGGUCAACUCUUUGGACACUCGUAAACAGGUGGUGCAUGGUUGUCGUCAGCUCGUGUCGUGAGAUGUUGGGUUAAGUCCCGCAACGAGCGCAACCCUCGUUCUAUGUUGCCAGCACGUAAUGGUGGGAACUCAUGGGAUACUGCCGGGGUCAACUCGGAGGAAGGUGGGGAUGACGUCAAAUCAUCAUGCCCCUUAUGUCUUGGGCUUCACGCAUGCUACAAUGGCCGGUACAAAGGGCUGCAAUACCGCGAGGUGGAGCGAAUCCCAAAAAGCCGGUCCCAGUUCGGAUUGAGGUCUGCAACUCGACCUCAUGAAGUCGGAGUCGCUAGUAAUCGCAGAUCAGCAACGCUGCGGUGAAUACGUU